CACAUUGUCAGAGUAUUUAUAUCGGCAGACAUUUUGUGCUAUGAUAGAAACUAAAAGUGUAUAUUCUGAGUCACUCUGAACAGACCAGACUCCAUUUUGUUAUUUCAAGUUAACAAAAAGACACUAUAUUUCUAUCUGUAAGCUAACCAAUUUCCCAGAUCUAAGGUAUGCAUAGUAUAAACAAGUGAUAAGGAAGGGGGUUGGAUAGACUGUCUAAAAUGCUAAUGGAAUAUAAUCAAAUCUAAACCCAGACAAUUGUGACAGAGAAGAGUAAAUAAUUUAAUAUUUAACUGUCUAUAUAUAUAAGGUACCAUUGUAUGGAAAAGGGUAAACUUAGUUCAUGAUCUGUCAUAUCAGAAAUUAUAGCAGGAAUUGCAGACGCUAAGUCUGGACAAAAUUUAAGAAACCCUUUGAAAUUUUAAAUUAUGGCGCUAUAAAGAUAACGCAAAAUGACGUCAAAAUAGCCACCAGGAAAAGUUAACUCUUUCCUGGAUAGGAAUGUUUAGUGGGACAAGACUGCCCUCUACAGACCAAAUAACUAAUUUGCGAUCUGGAAGAUAACCACACCUCUAGUGCUUCUAUUGGGUUAUCAACUGAUGGCGUACAGAGAGUCUGGCCCUUUAAAAGUUAAGACAAAGGGAAGAUAGAAGAAAGAUACGAGAGGAGGCACAUGCAAGAUAUGCAACGGAGAGGAGAGAGGAAUUGGAAGUUUGGGGAUUCCAACUCGGACAACAUCUGAGAAUAACACUCUACUCCUAAAACUCUAACACUUAGAAUUUACUGACUUUCUAACCAACACCUCCAUGCAGAGAGACUACCAAUUGGAUGAAAUAUCUACUCAACUGGUAAUUAUACUGGUUUCAUUUAAUUAAAUUAAAUUAAUUAAAAUAUAUUAAUAGCAUUAUAUAUGACUGGAUAAAGCACGGUCAGAUUUCCAUAUUAAGAAAUCUUAGUUAACUAAGUAUAUAUAGUUAUAAACAUUCCAUUCUGCAGGUGGAAUUAAGAAUAAUUAUAUAUUGAUGUGAUAUUAUCACGUGUUAGCAUACCGCUGUUUUUAUCCAGGUGUAUUGAUUUGCUCUAAAUUAAGAUAGAUAUCUUUUAGACAAAUUAAAAAUCUGCUUAUAUAUGUAGAUUCUCUUAUUGGAUUGUUUUCAGGAAAUGGCUAAUGAACUGGUUUAAAUGUUAUUUUAUUUAAAAAUACAUAAGAAUAGAUCUUAACUACCUAGGAGAUCUAGCCAGCAUUGAAAGGGUUAUUCUAACUGUCUGCUAAACUUUACGACCUUACGCUGCACUCUGAGGAAUUCUGUUCUUCUGUGAAAAGUUUAACUUUCAGUCUGUGAAAGCUAAUCAUAAAUCGUAGAAGUCUUGACAGAUAAUGCCGUUUAGCCAUUGAAACGUAAUACCCAUUUCUUUGUAUUGCAUAUCGUUUUAUACUGAAUAUUCAUUGAUUAUUGUUAUGCAUGUUACAUAAUAUUAUUUGUUAAUUAUUGAUUAUCAUAAAUAAAAUCUAUUUUUAUACAUUGUGAUAUUAAUUAUAUGAAAUACAUUCCACUUAACACGAUAAACGUUCUUUGGGAUCUGAGAAUUGAAUUAGUGGGCAAUUCUCACUGUUACUAUUAUUAUCCCAUAAAUAUCCCCACAUAUUGGAGGCACGGUGCUGAGAUCGUUUAAGUUGAAAUUGUAUUUCAUAUAUAAUAAUAAUAUUGGUGUAAUUCAUGCAAUUUAAUCUUGAUAUAGAAAAGAGUUUUGUAUUGAGAUUAAAUCAGUGUAUAGAAAUAUGGCUGAAUCCAGCAAUACAUCUGUAACAGAUAAUACUGAAAUAAUUGAAGACCUAAGAAAAAAUGCUCUAGUUCAUAUUCAUAAACAUAUGAAAAAUGAUUCAACCUAUGAGGUUUGGUUGAAAAGCAUAGAAUGGGAAGCUAAACAUACCAUUCUAAGUGAUGAACACAUAAUAAUAUAUCUUAAAGAAAUUGCUGAACAAAAGUGACGAUCUGGGCAUUCAAAAUGGGAAAUACCAAGAUUUACUUGCUGAGCAUAAAACUCGUCAGGCUGAUCAUGAAAAAGAAAUGAAAGCUUUGACGGAUAAUUAUGCACAGGAAAUAAAUCAGCUUAAAACGCAAUUGGAUGAGUAUGAAGAGGAGAGUCAGAAAUCAGGCAGUGAGGUUAGUAGUCAUCAUUCUGUGCCAAAAAGUUGCACAAAAAUGCAAGAAAAGACUAUCAGUAAAUCCCCUCCUUAUUAUGAUUUUCCCACACCAAACCAGGUCUUCAUAAAACAGUCUGUAAGUAAAGAUGUGAGUAAUUCUGAGAAAACACCUGUAGAUUCUUGGCAAUCUUGGGCAGAACAGUUUGAAAAAGCUGUCUUGGCCAAACUUGAGAGGGAGAGUCCAAUUCAAGGUGAUAGGAAUGAAAACAGACAUGGUUCUGUACACUGGCAGGAUUCUGAUGCUGAUCAGAAUUGUGACAGUGAACAAGAAGCUCAGAGUGAUGGGAGUGAAAGUGAUUGCACUAUCCACUCUGAAGGCCAUGUAACUGAUAUGCCAUCUGCACUGUUGUACGGGUCUAAUUCCUCUUCAGCAGACAGAUCGCAUAGACGUUUACCCAAACACAGAAACAGAGAUCGUAAAUCAACGACGCCUGUUUAUGAAACACCAAAGGUCAUCAAAUUCCUUAGAGAGACUGUCCCACAAUUUUCUAGAGGUUCAGGAAACAUAUCUGAACAUCUGGAAAAUUAUGAUAGAGCAAUGAAUUCAUUGGGCAUGUAUGAUGACAUUCAUAAGAAAUGGUUCAUUACAUGGACCUUUGAUUCAAUGUGCCGUGUUUAUCUAGAAAGUCUUCAAGCUAUACAGUUAAUGUCCUGGUCCAAGAUGAAAUAUGAAAUAAUCAUGGAAUAUGGUAAGUAUAAAACCAUUGCCUCUGCAAAGAAGGCGCUUUAUAACUUAAAGUGCCGUCCAGAUCAAAGCCCCAGAGAAUUUUUAAUAAUUCUUAAAAAUGCAUACUCCGUGGCCCAAAGAAAACCCAGGUAUGAAAGCACAGACUUCAAAGAUCUGUAUUUUCAUGCCAUGCCAGUAAACAUACAAAUGAAUCUCGCAAGAGAUUACGAUUGUAAGUUACCAUUAGAAUGGCUAGUCAGUCAGUGCAUGAAGUUGUACACUAUACACCAUGCACAUGACGAAAAUCAGCCAAAGGUUAAGAAACCUGGUGAUAAAAUGGUGUCAGAGACUAAAAUUCAGUUAGGUUUAGAAACCCAACAGAAAAAGAGGACCUAUUCCGAGGUUUUGAAAACACCAAAACCUCAGAAACAGGAAAACGCCAGAAGCAAUUCUGCAAACUCCUCUAAUAACUCUGAAAAAUCCAAUGCCAAUGGGAAUAAACGCCCCUGGGUUAAUAAAAACCAAGGCAAUUCCCAAUGGAGAAGGAAUCCUCAGGGAAAUAGGAGAUAUGGAAACAGAAAUAACCAAUCUGCUUCCAGUAACUCCCAACAGUCUCAGCCAUCCCAGCCAAAUUCUAAUGGGCAAAGACAAAACGGCAAUGGGGGAAAUAAUUUGCGUCGUCAGGUUGGUCAAUUGACAGACCAGAUGGGCAAAUUAAUGGAGGAAAUGACAAAGAUUAACCAAGUCUUUGCUCUAAAUCCUUUUUUAGGGAUAGCUCCAAUUGCAGAACUACCUGUGCAACCGCAGCAACAACAGGUGCCGCAGCAAUAAUAGCCACUGUGACUAAACAGGCUAGGUUAUCAGUAGAUGUAAUGCCUAACCCUGUUUCCUUUCCAGGUACUCAUAGUCAAACAAACAAUAGUUGUGUUAGAAAACCUAUUGCCUAUCCCGUCACUUCACUUUCGGGUGAAGGAGGCGCAACGUGUUCCUCUGUUUUUUCAUUUCAGCCAAAGGCUAAAGUAGCCCCAGCAACCACUAGUUUCCAGGAUCCAGACCUGAAAGGGUUAACUGAUGAGAUGCCGACCACUAGUUCCCGCUUGACAGUUCAAGUUAUUCCUAAAAAGGAUGGGCCUGUGGGUAAGACUGAGCAUUCCUCAGUACAGGUAGAAACUACUGCUGUGACCGGUAAUGUAUGGAAAACAAGUAAUAUGUUGACACAUUCUAAAUUCUUAUGUGAAUUAGAAGAACAUGAAGGAAGGUACUACAUGUCUGUAGAAAUACAGGAUUCGCUACCCCAGCCUUUUAAAAGGGUUAAUAGAUACUGGUUCACAAGCCACUAUCUUAUCCAAUACCUACUUCCAGCAGGUAAUGGACUUAGCAACGGAUAAGCCGAAGCUAAGAGAUUUCCCCAAUGCUCUGUUGAGUGUAGGAGGAAAUGCCCUUCAUGUUAUUGGCAAUACCUGGUUAAAGUUUAAAAUAGGUAACAAAACCUUUAGACACCCGGUGAUAGUGGUAGAUCUCCCCUAUGACCGACUGAUUCUGGGUAUAGACAUACUCAGAAGACUUAACAAAAUUAUUGACUGUGUGAAUGGAAUUGUAUGGUCACAAGCUAAGGUUCCCAUUACCUAUGAGAAAUCACAUGUUCAAUCUGAUCGUAACUGCCAUGUGAUAGAAGAAAGACCUGACUCAAUUGAGGUACAUUUUAGAAAUAGUCAGUCACCUGACGUGACUAUCCUGCAGGUGAAUGAUGCAAUCGCACCUGUAGAUGAGCAUUCCGUAAGAAUUGCUCCAGAGAGGAUCCAGAAUGUCUCUCUGGAAGGUGAUGUUUUAACCAUUUCUCUCCACAGGGACUAUGUUGAAUCUGUAGAUCUGGCAGGUCAUGCUCAAUUCCUUGCCAGAAUUGAAAGGGUUAAUAACAACCUAUUCUUUCCUAUGCAAAUAAAUGACUUAGGAAGAAGUAGGAAUGCAAAGCUGGACUUACAGAGUGAGAACAGCUAUAUUAGCAGAAGUCUGUUAAAGCAGAUCGCUAAUCCUAAAAUGAUCAGGUACGCUUCCCCACAUGACAGGUGGAUCCAGAACCUGGAUGGCGAAUCAGAGAGUCACAAUGUGAUAGCAAAAUGUUUACUAUCUAUUUCCAUCGGAAAUAAGACCGUUAAACAUUUAUUCUUAGUGAUAAACGAACCUCGCUAUCAGGUUUACGUUGGCAAUGAUGUCAUACAUCGCUUUGCCAUACACCUUGACCUGAUUAAUUCCAACUUGUGGACAAGGUUAAAAGGUAAUCCUUGUGGAUACCUACACGAGGAAAACGCCCUGAAAUCAGGACAAAUACUCCCAUAUGCGGUAAGUAUCCAAGUUCCUGAUGACAUAACCAUUCCACAGGGGACAAGUAAUUUUCUUUUACCCCUACAGGUCAAGGAGGGUCAGAGAUUGGAAAACUCUGAUGCCCUAAUCUGUUUAUCCAACAGGAUACAACAAUUAGGGAUGGUGGUAACACAUACACCAAUGGUAAGUAUUGGUAAGAAUCCCACCUAUAUCAUGGUCAACAAUGUUACACCCAAUAGUGUUACUUUACCAAAAGGAACAUUAUUAGGUCUAGCAUUGGAUGCUGAGUACUAUACAUUUGGUUUCCAAAACCAAAUUAUAGGCCUCAUCCCUGAAGAAUACUUAACUGAGGACGAAAUUGUCGAUCAAAUAUUCCAUUCCUCCCCAGAAGGAUUAUUCACUAUCCUAUCUGUGUAUCCCUUCAACGUUGAAGAAGGCUCGUGUAAAAUCGAAGAAGCAUCAAUCACCUUCGAUCAUCCGCUCAAUGAGCAGGAAUCACAAGAGUAUCACGACCAAAGAGAAAAGGUAAGUCAACACCGAACUGACCUAACUUCUAGGCUUGAAGAAGCUUAUGAGAUAGGCCAGCCUGAAAUCUUUCCAGGAUUUCAGGAAAGGCUAGAAGAGCAAAUAUCUUUAGCUGACGGUUGCUCCAACGAUGCUGAGCGGCAACAGCUAAAGGAAAUCCUUUUGGAAUUCCAAGAUAUUUUUGCCAAAGAUUCCUACGACUGUGGGUUAACUAACCUCCACGUAGCCAGAAUACAAACUGAUCCAAAUUUACCACCUGUAUUUAUCAAACAAUAUAGACUCCCAUUAGCGUCAUAUGAUGGUCUACAAGACAUCAUUCAGAAUUUAAAGGAAAGGGGCAUUAUACGUCCAGUGCACAGUUCGUAUAAUAAUCCGAUCUUGGGGAUUCUGAAACCUAAUGGACAAUGGCGUUUAUGCGCUGACUUACGACAGCUAAAUAAACGCGUCUAUAUGUCUGGUUGGCCAACGCCAUACAUAGACCAAUGUUUGGUACAAAUGCAGGGAUCCAAAAUAUUCACUGCCAUUGACUGUGCGCAGGGAUAUUGGACUGUACCAGUCCAUAAUGAAGACCAAUACAAAUUGGCCUUCACAUUUUGAAAGCAGCAGUAUACCUGGACCCGUAUGCCUUUCGGUUAUAUAAACUCUGGUCAUGAAUUCGCUGUGUUCAUGCAUAAAGCUAUGCCUGACGCACUCGAGAGAGGAACGUUAUCAUAUGUCGACGAUGUCUUGCUGAAAAGCACUUCCUUUGAUAAGCAUAUCUUAGAGAUUAGACAUGUUCUCACUCAGUUAAGAGAGGCAGGGAUUAAACUGUCUUUACAAAAGGCGCAAUGGUGUCGCACCCAUGUCAAUUUCCUCGGACAUGAGGUAACUUCUGAAGGAUUAAAUCCCCAGAGGAAGAAGGUUGAAGCCGUACUAAAGGCUAAAACACCUUCAAACAUCAGGGAAUUAAGAUCGUUCCUUGGUAUGACUAACUACUCCCGUAAGUUUAUAGAUAACUAUGCAGAAAUAACUAAACCACUCUUACACCUGCUUAAAAAGGAAACUACCUGGAACUGGGGGGAGCCUCAGGACCAAGCGGUAAGUGAACUGAGGAGGAAGCUCACUCAGGCACCCUGUUUAGCAUACCCAGAGGGGGGUAAACCCUUCUAUCUGGAGACAGGAUAUACCGAUUUAAGCAUAAGUGCUGUUCUGUAUCAGAAGCAGGACAGUUUAAACAAAGUUAUUGCAUAUGCUAGCAAGACUUUGUCACCUGUUGAAGUUAAAUUCAACACGUGUGAGAAGGCGUUAUUGUCGACUGUCUGGGCACUACAAAAUUUUCGUAGCUAUAUCCAAGGUGAGAAAAUAAUUGUAGAAACAGCUCACCAACCUCUACAGUAUCUGCAGAGUGAAAGAAUUAGAGACGGUAAUCUCUCUAACAGUCGGAUUACUGCAUGGACUCUAUCCUUACAGGGAUGGCCGUUAGAAGUCCGUUAUAAACAUAAUAAGAGAAGCCCAGUUGCCCAAGGUUUAGCAGAAUUACAUGACUGUACUGCUCCAUCUCUGGAUGAUAAUGACACCGGAGAUGAUUUCCUAGAAGAGCAAUUGCUAUCUCCUUAUAAAGUUUAUGACGAGGAAUACUGUCGACCACUACCGUGGGUAUACAUUGAUGGUUGUUCAUAUCACCACGUAGUUGGUGCUGAACGGAAGUUAGUUGCAGGUAUCGGAAUCGCCUGGACAGGUGAUUAUCCCAAUGUAUCUAUAGGAUACAAUAUUGGUCCCAAAAGCAGUCAGAUAGCCGAACUCUGUGCAGUAUAUAAGACCAUUCAAAUGGCAAUAGAAUAUGGUAUCAAAGAAUUUGUUGUUAUAACUGAUUCCAACUAUGUUCGCAACAGUUUCGUCGAAUAUCUGCCUAGCUGGAAACGUAACCAAAUGCUGAAAAGCAAUAACAAACCUGUUAAACAUGGGAAAUUGUUUUGUAAAAUCGAUGAGUUGGUUAAGGAAAAUGGUUUAACCAUAUAUUGGAAGAAAACCAAAGGCCAUUCUAAAAUAGAAGGUAUUGACAAGGAUGGUAAUGACUUAGCCGAUUCACUGGCAAAACAAGCUGCCAUCAAUGGUGAAACACUAAACAUUGAUGAUCUUAUGGGUUCAAUUCAUGUUGAAGCCAUAACUAGACGACAGGCUAGAGAUAAUGCCGACUUAAAUGUCGUGCAAUGGAGUCAAGAAGCUCCUAGUGAUGACCUGAUUACUAGUCAAAAGAAUGAUCCCGUCAUAGGCAUAUUCUAUAAACAUAUAGAAGACCCUACUGCCAAUCCCAUCACAGAUGUGGAUUGCAAAGAUAAUGAAGAUUUACGAAUCUUGAUGAGAUAUAAAGUCCAAUUUAGUAUCAUGGAUGGGUUACUGGUCAGGACUUCUAAACAUGGUAUACAACAAUGGGUAGUCCCAACUGUAUACAGAGGGUUAAUGCUCCAACACGCACAUGAUGCACCUACAUCUGGGCAUCGUGGUGAUAAGAUCACAUAUGAGAUAUUGCGUGAUUAUGCAUAUUGGCCACACAUGUUAAGGGACGUUAAGACAUACUGUCAGGGAUGCUUGAUUUGUCCGCAAUAUCAACCCCAUGGUCCAACCCAUCGUGCAUCACUUCAGAAGAGGGGGGUGUCAUUACCCUGGUCUGAUAUUCAAAUUGACUUUAUAGGUCCUGUAACAAGAUCUUCAAGAGGUAACAAAUACAUGUUAACUGUUACAUGUAUGUACACAAAGUGGAUAGAAUGUUUGCCUUGUAAAGAGAACACGAGUACCGUGUGCGCCACUUUGUUGAUUAACCAUGUCUUUUCCAGGUUCGGUCUGCCCCAAAGAAUUGAGUCAGACAGAGGUAGUCAUUUUACCAGCGAAGUAAUGGCUAAGAUGUGGAACAUUCUAGGUGUUAAACGAAAGCUACAUAUUGCAUACCGCGCUGCGUCUAGCGGGGGGGUAGAGCGAUAUAACCAGUCUAUCGUUAAUAUUCUAAAGAAAUAUGUUAAGGAGUCUGGUAAAGACUGGGACAUUAAAUUGCCCCUAGUUUUAAUGGUGAUUAGAGCUACACCUAGCACUGCUACCAAAUUGUCACCUUUUGAAUUGAUGACAGGAAGAAAGAUGGUUUUACCACAGCAUUUACUAUAUCGUACUUCAGAUCAUAACUUGAUCAAUGCUGCUACUACGCAUCAGUAUAUCGAAGAUUUGCGCAAGCAUUUACAGCAUGCGUUUGCUUUUGCCCAAAAGAAUCUAGAAAAAGCAGCGACAGGGGUUAAGACCUAUUACGAUCUAAAAACCACGAAAAAGGAAUAUGAGAUCACAGAUCAAGUCUAUCAAGUCUAUCAAGAAAUUUUUACCUUCUUGGAAAGGGCCAUAUGUCAUCAUUGACAAAAUUUCCCCAGUAGCGUAUAAGAUAAAAAUUCCUAAGGAUGGUGAUUUUAUUGAAAAGUGGGUUCACAUUAACCAGUUGCGUGCUUGUCAUCCUAAAUCUCAAUUAAGGAUUAUAGGUGUGGAUUCGGAUGCAGAAGGGUGAACGACUAACCGGAUGAAUGCUUGAUUCACGUGGUAUAGUAUGAUGUGAAAUGUUGUGAUGUGCCAUGAUCUCAUGUACGUUCAUGUCAUUAACCAUUUCCUUGCCAUCCAAUAACUACAUUUUAUAAGCAGGUUACUAGCUUGUUUAACUGCUAUAGGCAAAUUGCUGAGGAGUCAGUAAUAAAUGUAGUGAGGGAUGAAGUUAUAAAAAUAGAAUUAGACAGAAUACAUAUGUUGAUGAAUCGUAAUAAUGUGUUGUCCUAGGCCAAGUGAUGUCACACUGUUAUAAGUUUGUAUGCUUAACAAACCUUGAAUCAUUAGUAGAUAAGUCUGAAACGAGUUUCUGAUCCGUGACUGUCGAAAGAUGUCCAAGAAGGAUGUGACGUGUUUCUGGAUCGUACUGCUCCUGUGCCAAGAGCUACGGACCGACCCGAUUGCAGAGAUGGGACCAUCCUCCCGCAUCCUGAUUCAAGAGACACCAGGGUUCAUCUUAACAGAGAAGAGGAUCCUGACCCGACGUGUGUUCGUCAGCUUGGACCCCAAGAUUUCCAUCGAGAAGGCAUACAACAUUUCAUCGAUGCAGCUUCCUGAGUUACAGACUUGGUACCAGAUGCACCUCGAAAGAGCACAGGACCGUGUGCGAAACAUCUUGGAGCAAGCCCGGAAACCAUUUGUAUCCAGUUCUAUUCCGAUGAGCAACCGACCCAAAAGGUUCCUCACCGCUAUAAUUGUUGCAUUAGUUUGUGCUACUGUCGGUGCAGUUGUCGCAACUGGAAUGUCUGCAGCCAACUCUAUUACUGUCCAAAAGCUGGAUAUGGAAAUCUAUGCGCUAAAGCAACACAUUAACGAUAUUCAUCAGGUGAUACAACAGCAAAGAACACUUCUCCAAGACGUGUUAACUAUUGUGGAAGACACAGUUGUUACAACAAAUUUGCAUUCAGAGGUAAUUGCCAAAUCCACUGAGUUGCACCAAAGUCAUGACUUAUUCAAGCGUGAACUUUUAUUUCUGCAUGACCCAAUAUUGUUCCACACACUUGCUUUUCUUGACGAAGUGCAAACUGGAAUGAUCGAAUUGGCAGGGGGACGCAUACCUCUGUAUUUUGUAUCCAAUGAUAUUGUUCAUGCGAUGCUUGCCAAUGUGGAUGGAGAGACAAUUGAGCCUAUGCAAUUAAAUCUGGCCUUUGAGAUGGGGAGCGCUAUACCUCUCUUAAUUGAUCCGGAACGUAUGGAGAUUUGCUUUUUAUUGGCCAUACCAUAUGUAACUCCCAAAGACAUUUUUCAAAUGAAAAUAAUGUACUAUGUUAAUAAUGAUAUUAUGGUUGAUUGUACUAAGUGUAAAGUUCAAAACUUUUACAGGUACAAAUAUAUACAAAAAUGUUCAUUCCACGCAUGUACUAUGUUAGAAAUGAUGUGAUUGCACAAUAUGUCUGAUAACUUCUAUAGUGCUUAUUCAUAAGCUAAAUUAAUUUUGGCUAUGAAAUGCACUAAAGGGGGGUUAUGUCAGGGUAUUUAUAUCGGCAGACAUUUUGUGCUACGAUAGAAACUAAAAGUGUAUAUUCUGAGUCACUCUGAACAGACCAGACUCCAUUUUGUUAUUCCAAGUUAACAAAGACAAAGAGACACAGGAUUUCUUUCUGUAAGACUGGCCUCUUUGCCAGAGCUAAGGAAUGCAUAGUAUAAACAAGUGAUAAGAGGAAUAUAAUCAAAUUUAAACCCAGACAAUUGUGACAGAGAAGAUUAAAUAAUUUAAUAUUUAACUGUCUAUAUAUAUAAGGUACCAUUGUAUGGAAAAGGGUAAACUUAGUUCAUGAUCUGUCAUAUCAGAAAUUAUGGCAGGAAUUGCAGACGCUAAGUCUGGAC